rnacentral:rRNA from 1 species
AUUGAACGCUGGCGGCAUGCUUUACACAUGCAAGUCGAACGGUAACAGGCCGCAAGGUGCUGACGAGUGGCGAACGGGUGAGUAAUGCAUCGGAACGUGCCCAGUCGUGGGGGAUAACGCAGCGAAAGCUGCGCUAAUACCGCAUACGAUCUAUGGAUGAAAGCGGGGGACCGUAAGGCCUCGCGCGAUUGGAGCGGCCGAUGUCAGAUUAGGUAGUUGGUGGGGUAAAGGCUCACCAAGCCAACGAUCUGUAGCUGGUCUGAGAGGACGACCAGCCACACUGGGGCUGAGAAACGGCCCAGACUCCUACGGGAGGCAGCAGUGGGGAAUUUUGGACAAUGGGCGCAAGCCUGAUCCAGCAAUGCCGCGUGCAGGAAGAAGGCCUUCGGGUUGUAAACUGCUUUUGUACGGAACGAAACGGUCCUGGUUAAUACCUGGGGCUAAUGACGGUACCGUAAGAAUAAGCACCGGCUAACUACGUGCCAGCCGCCGCGGUAACAC